AAUCAACGCUGGCGGCGUGCCUCAGACAUGCAAGUCGAACGAUUAAAGCUCUCUUCGGAGAGUGUAUAAAGUGGCGCACGGGUGAGUAACACGUAAGUAAUCUACCUUCGAGUGGGGAAUAACGUCCGGAAACGGACGCUAAUACCGCAUAACGCAGCGGCAUCGCAAGAUGACAGUUGUUAAAGAUUUAUCGCUUGAAGAGGAGCUUGCGGCAGAUUAGCUUGUUGGUAAGGUAACGGCUUACCAAGGCUACGAUCUGUAACCGGUCUAAGAGGACGGUCGGUCACACUGACACUGAAUAACGGGUCAGACUCCUACGGGAGGCAGCAGUCGGGAAUUUUGGGCAAUGGGGGAAACCCUGACCCAGCAACGCCGCGUGAAGGAUGAAGUAUUUCGGUAUGUAAACUU
rnacentral:rRNA from 1 species